rnacentral:rRNA from 1 species
UACGUAGGGGGGCUAGCGUUGUCCGGAAUCAUUGGGCGUAAAGCGCGCGUAGGCGGCCCGAUAAGUCUGCUGUGAAAGUCCAGGGCUCAACCCUGGAAUGCCGGUGGAUACUGUCGGGCUAGAGUUCGGAAGAGGAGAGUGGAAUUCCUGGUGUAGCGGUGAAAUGCGCAGAUAUCAGGAAGAACACCCGUGGCGAAGGCGGCUCUCUGGGACGGUACUGACGCUGAGACGCGAAAGCGUGGGGAGCGAACAGG